GGUUGAUCCUGCCGGACCCGACCGCUAUCGGGGUGGGGCUAAGCCAUGGGAGUCGUACGCCCCGCCGCUGCGGGGCGUGGCGGACGGCUGAGUAACACGUGGCUAACCUACCCUCGGGAGGGGGAUAACACCGGGAAACUGGUGCUAAUCCCCCAUAGGGGAGGAGGCCUGGAAGGGUUCCUCCCCGAAAGGGUACGGCGGGGGUUAUCGCCGCCGUGCCACCCGAGGAUGGGGUUGCGGCCCAUCAGGUAGUUGGCGGGGUAACGGCCCGCCAAGCCGAUAACGGGUAGGGGCCGUGAGAGCGGGAGCCCCCAGAUGGGCACUGAGACAAGGGCCCAGGCCCUACGGGGCGCACCAGGCGCGAAACCUCCGCAAUGCGGGCAACCGUGACGGGGUCACCCCGAGUGCCCCCUAUAAGGGGGCUUUUCCCCGCUGUAGGAAGGCGGGGGAAUAAGCGGGGGGCAAGUCUGGUGUCGGCCGCCGCGGUAAUACCAGCCCCGCGAGUGGUCGGGACGGUUAUUGGGCCUAAAGCGCCCGUAGCCGGCCUGGUAAGUCCCCCUCUAAAUCCCCGGGCUCAACCCGGGGGUUGGGGGGGAUACUGCCAGGCUAGGGGGCGGGAGAGGCCGAGGGUACUCCCGGGGUAGGGGCGAAAUCC
rnacentral:rRNA from 1 species